AGAGAGAGACAGAGAGAGAGAGAGAGAGAGAGAGAGAGAGAGAGAGAGAGAGAGAGAGUAGGGAGGGUCUGGAUGCGUCUGUGAAAUUCAACCAAGCUGUUCCGCUGGUAAUAAUGGACGAGAGGCAAGCGUUGAAAUGCAAAUUAGAGAGCGGGUCGCGGACAGCUUGAUACAUGUGCGGGGAUUGUGGUUUCGCGCGACGCACAACGCCGCCUAUAUUUGUGGAAUAAAGGAGUUUGUUUUGGAGUUUUGCUCGGUACGGGGGAUAUUAUAUAACGUCGGUGGGUUAUAACAUCGAAUAAUGCUGAAUUUUCAAGCGAUCGUUUCGAGUGCUCGAGUGCCUAACGAUAUGCCAAAGAUUACUGAAUAAUUCUAAUGCAGAAAUGGUAAAAAAGUUAUGACGUCUUUCGAUUCUCCGUUAUCUUUUUUGUCGCUUCGUUUUUCAAUUUAUAAUAUAUGUACAGUAAUAAAUUUGUAAACAAUAUAUGUUGGAAAGAACGUUCAAACUAAAUUUCAACAUAGCCUUUAUACAUUCAUAAACGUUUGCUUUUGAAAGAAAAAAUAUUUAAAUGCCAAUGGAUAAGAAAGAAAAAGUUUGCGCUAUGAAGAUGAAUGUGUGUACGCACAUUAUCGACAUCUUUGACAUCCUCGCAAACUCGUGUCUUUGCUCUCAACUUUUUGCCGUCGCGAUAAGAAUGAAAAAGAAGCUACACAUGGAAUGAACCAGUGAUGAUUUUCGAAUGGAAUUGCAAACACGUUCCCAAAUGAAAAUUGAUUAAAUUAUUUUUACUAUAAUUAUUGAAAAUAAAUUCCGCGUAAGACAAACAAUGCUGAAUUUGCAAAUGGGAAAUGGAGAAUAGAAUAUUAUAUAUAUAUAUAAGCAUACAUACAAGCAAAAAAAUUAUUUAAUGUCUAUCUACCUUCGGGAAGGAACCGAGGAGACAAGACGUGAGAUUGUGAAGAAAUGUAAUUGUGUGUUGCAAAUGUUUAUACGUAUCAAAAGUGGGACAUACCUAUACAAGCACAGAUUUUAUGCUUUAUGAGAAAGCAUGGUUCUCAAUUCAUUAUCUUAAUAAUGAUCGCAUAUAAAAAAAUAGCAAUAUUUAUAAGAAUUAAAAACCAUAUGUGAUUUUUUUUCCUUGUCAACUUUAAAGUUCUAUA